rnacentral:rRNA from 1 species
UACGUAGGGUGCGAGCGUUGUCCGGAAUUACUGGGCGUAAAGAGCUCGUAGGUGGUUUGUCGCGUUGUUCGUGAAAACCGGGGGCUUAACCCUCGGCGUGCGGGCGAUACGGGCAGACUUGAGUACUGCAGGGGAGACUGGAAUUCCUGGUGUAGCGGUGGAAUGCGCAGAUAUCAGGAGGAACACCAGUGGCGAAGGCGGUGCUCUGGGCCGGAACUGACGCUGAGGAGCGAAAGCGUGGGGAGCAAACAGG